rnacentral:lncRNA from 1 species
CAAGAGUGAAGAAAAUUCAGUUGAAAGAAUUUAUUUCCCAUUCCCAAACCUUGGGAGCUUUGAAUAAGACUGACCUUAGGAGAGGAUAUGUGGUUGGCUUUAGCUAUAGAGGUAGAGGCCUCACUUGGAUGUCCAUAGGACCUGGGCUGGGCUGAUUGACAGUUGUUGACAUUGAUGAAGAGGAUCAUAAGAUCAUCUAUUCAGAGUCUGAAGGAGACUUGGAAAGUAUUUUGUACAUAGUGAGACCUUAACACUUGUUUGUGAAUUAAAUUAAGAUGACAUGCUAGAAAUUGGGCUUAAUGCAGAUUACUCAGGCAGAAUAUGUGAAAUAAAUUGGAGCAAAGAGGACUUAGUAGAAGCAGAGAGAUUAAUACAGAAAUAAAAGGCAAUGGGGGCCCGAGCUAAGGUGGUGGUUCAUAAAUAGAGAACUCAGAAGUCUCAUCAUUUUAGCUUAAGCUAAUAUCUUCCUUCCUUCCUUCCUUCCUUCCUUCCUUCCUUCCUUCCUUCCUUCCUUCCUUCCUUCCUUCCUUCCUUCCUUUCUUUCUUACUUUCUUUCUUUCUUUCUUUCUUUCUUUCUUUCUUACUUCCUUUCUUCCUUCCCCUUUCUUUCUUUCUUUCUUUCUUUCUUUCUUUCUUUCUUUCUUUCUUUCUUUCUUUCUUUCUUUCUUUCUUUCUUUCUUUCUUUCUUUCUUUCUUUCUUUCUUUCUUCCUUCCUUCCUUCCUUCCAUACUUCCUUCCUUUCUUCUUUCUUUCUUUCUUUCUUUCUUUCUUUCUUUCUUUCUUUCUUUCUUUCUUUCUUUCUUUCUUUCUUUCUUUCUUUCUUUCUUUCUUUCUUUCUUUCUUUCUUUCUUUCUUUCUUUCUUUCUUUCUUUCUUUCUUUCUUUCUUUCUUUCUUCUGUCUCACAAUACAUACUAGUAUCAGGGACAAGGCAAAAAAGUAGUUAGGAUUAGGCAAUUGGGAUUAAGUACCUUGCCCAGGAAUGUACAGCUAGGAAAUGUCUGAGGCUAGAUUUGAACCCAGGUCUUCCAGACCUAGCUGUCUAUCCACUGUGCCACCUAGCUGUCCCAUGAAAGGUUGUAAACAUUUAUAUUUUAAUAUUUGAUAAUUGAUCCUGGAAACAAUAGGGAAAACCAUCUUUCUAAAACCAUUUGUGCCUCUGUGACCAGCCCCCCUCCCCAUAGAGAAUUUCCAUGCUCCCCCAGCUCUCAC